rnacentral:rRNA from 1 species
UACGUAGGUGGCAAGCGUUGUCCGGAAUUAUUGGGCGUAAAGCGCGCGCAGGCGGCCUUUUAAGUCUGAUGUGAAAUCUUGCGGCUCAACCGCAAGCGGCCAUUGGAAACUGGGAGGCUUGAGUACAGAAGAGGAGAGUGGAAUCCCACGUGUAGCGGUGAAAUGCGUAGAUAUGUGGAGGAACACCAGUGGCGAAGGCGACUCUCUGGUCUGUAACUGACGCUGAGGCGCGAAAGCGUGGGGAGCAAACAGG